UACGUAUGGUGCAAGCGUUAUCCGGAUUUACUGGGCGUAAAGGGAGCGCAGGCGGCGCGCCAAGUCUGACGUGAAACCCCGGGGCUCAACCCCGGGCAUGCAUUGGAAACUGGCGGGCUGGAGUGCCGGAGAGGUAAGCGGAAUUCCUAGUGUAGCGGUGAAAUGCGUAGAUAUUAGGAGGAACACCAGUGGCGAAGGCGGCUUACUGGACGGCAACUGACGCUGAGGCUCGAAAGCGUGGGGAGCAAACAGG
rnacentral:rRNA from 1 species